UCUCCUCAUGGCUUCUCCUGCCAAAUCUCCUCCACCUCCUCCCUCAUGCAUCUCUUCUCGCUUUCUCCUGUCUCUUCUUAUGCUUCUUCUUCUUCAUGGCCCACGCAGCGCCUGCUCCAUCAGAAGAGAGGUUCCCGCCGGUGACCGACCACCUGACGAGCUCCUCCGCCGAGUUCACCACACAGGUCAUAGUGUCCCUUGGAGCAGCACGUUCAACUUCCUUCCGAGGGGAAUCCCAGUACCGCCGUCGGCGCCGUCGAAGCGGCACAACUCCAUUCCUAGUGAUCGAAUGCCCUCUCCUUGAUGUUCGCUUUUAUUUCUGUCGGCUCGAUCAUAAGAUUGGAGACGGAGGACAAUUUAGGUUGAGACUCGAUGCAUCAUCAGAGGAGAAGUGGAAUGAUGCUACUGGCCAGGAGGCAUAGCUAAUAACUGCUCCACUAUUGAGCAUUGACUUCUAAAGCUUGUUGAUGAAGAUGAUGGAUGGAUGAGUGAUAGGACACCUUAACCAGUUGACCCGGCAUGACAUAGCAGCUUGUUCAUACAGAUUGGCCGAUCAUGCAAAUGCUCUCCCGCCCACCAAACCAAGAAUGUGGUUCAUACGCAUCUCAACGUCGCAAGUUGAUGCAUUGCCAUGAUUCAGCUUUUUGAACUGAACACUCGGUUCCUGUAAACCUUUUCGGAGAUGAAGAAGACAGCUCAGUGUUUGACUGAGUUGAAAGUUAAUUUCUUCUGUACCUAAAAAGAUAACAUGAUCAUUAGAAGUUGGUAUUUGCUUUUGA